rnacentral:rRNA from 1 species
CCUGGUUGAUCCUGCCAAUAGUCAUAUGCUUGUAUCAAAAAUUAAGCCAUGCAUGUGCAAGUAUGAACCAAUUUGAAUUGUGAAACUACGAAUGACUCAUUAAAUUGGUUAUAGUUUUUUUAUGGCACAUGCUACUCGGAUAACCAUAGCAAUUCUAGAGCUAAUAUGUGCAACAAACCCGACUUUUGGGAGGGGCGCAUUUAUUAGAUAAAAGGCUGACGCAGGCUCUGCUCAUUGAUCUGGUGAUUCAUGAUAACUCGACAGAUCGCAUGGCCUUUGUGCCGGCGACGCGUCAUUCAAAUUUCUGCCAUGUCAACUUUUGAUGGUAAGAUAGGGGCCUACCUUGGUGGUGAUGGGUGACGGAGAAUUAGGGUUUGAUUCCAGAGAGGGAGCGUGAGAAAAGGCUACCACAUCCAAGGAAGGCAACGGGCGUGCAAAUUAACCAAUCCUGACACAAGGAGGUAGUGACAAUAAAUGACAGGACCGGGCACAUUAGUGUCUGGUAACUGGAAUGUGUACAGUCUAAAUCCCUUAACGAGGAUCCAUUGGAGGGCAAGUUUGGUGCCAGCAGCCGCGGUAAUUUUAAGUUGUUGAAGUGACCUUGGGCCGGGUUGGCCGGUCCGCCUCAUGGUAAGCACCGACCUACUCGACCCUUCGACUCGGAUCGCACUCCUAGACUUAAUUGGUCAGAUCGUCUUUUCAGCAUCGUUACUUUAAAGAAAUUAGAAUGCUCAAAGCAAGCCAUCACUCUGGAUACAUUAGCAUGGGAUAACAUCAUAGAAUUCCGGUCCUAUUGUGUUGGCCUUCGGGAUCGGAGUAAUGAUUAAUAGGGAUUGUCUGGGGCAUUCGUAUUUCAUAGUCAGAGGUGAAAUUCUUGGAUUUGUGAAAGACGAACAACUGUAAAAGCAUUUACCAAGGAUGUUUUCAUUAAUCAAGAAUGAAAGUUGAUGGCUCGAAGAUGAUUAGAUACCGUCCUAGUCUCAAUCAUAAAUGAUGUCGACUAGGGAUUGACGGAUGUUGCUUAUAGGACUCCGCUAGCACCUUCUGAGAAAUCAAAGUCUUUGGGUUUCCCGGGGAGGGGGGGGGGAGAUGGUCGCAAGGCUGAAACUUAAAGGAAUGGGAUAAUUAAUUUUGUGCCCUUACUUGUGCCCCCUUCGGCAGGUUUACCCCUAGUUUCGGAAAACCAUCGUUCUUGCCCAACUCACUUUGAUUUUCUUAUGCUUUUUCCCUUCCGUCAUGGUUCAAAAAUAAUAUAAUAACAUGGAACAGUAAAAAAUUAUAGAUACAUUGGGGACGUAUCACCCAUGAGAUACAUAAACUCCUUCCAAGUAGCACACGGUCUUCUCCCAUUUGUCAUCCAAGUUAUUGUCCUCUCCUCAUUGGUUUUGAGAUGGACCGUGGCAAAGAACAUGGGCACCAACUUUGCAUCAAAAUCCUUGUUGAAUGUCACGAGCUUGGUAAUAUCUAGCUUGUCACACACGCAAGAGCUUCACGAAAAUAGUUAAUAUUCUCUGCAUGUGGUCAAUAUCAAUGGACUUGACAUGGGGAACAAACAGGUUAUUUUUCUUCUUGAGCACAUCAUGAUAUAUAGAACCUUGUUGCUUGGUCGAGAAUGGACGGUUGAUAAGAGCUUGAUCUUGCAGAUUGAUGUACGGGUUGCGGCGACGAGCAAUGCAGAACUCCUUGCUUGGCAACUCACUCAUUGACUGAGUCCUCGGAGACUUGGUGG